GAUGAACGCUGGCGGCGUGCCUAAUACAUGCAAGUCGAGCGAACGGACGAGAAGCUUGCUUCUCUGAUGUUAGCGGCGGACGGGUGAGUAACACGUGGAUAACCUACCUAUAAGACUGGGAUAACUUCGGGAAACCGUAGCUAAUACCGGAUAAUAUUUUGAACCGCAUGGUUCAAAAGUGAAAGACAGUCUUGCUGUCACUUAUAGAUGGAUCCGCGCUGCAUUAGCUAGUCGGUAAGGUAACGGCUUACCAAGGCAACGAUGCAUAGCCGACCUGAGAGGGUGAUCGGCCACACUGGAACUGAGACACGGUCCAGACUCCUACGGGAGGCAGCAGUAGGGAAUCUUCCGCAAUGGGCGAAAGCCUGACGGAGCAACGCCGCGUGAGUGAUGAAGGUCUUCGGAUCGUAAAACUCUGUUAUUAGGGAAGAACAUAUGUGUAAGUAACUGUGCACAUCUUGACGGUACCUAAUCAGAAAGCCACGGCUAACUACGUG
rnacentral:rRNA from 1 species